CUUAAGAUGGCCACCAGAAGGAAAUGGCUUUACCGUGUGGAAUGAUGUUAGAUUACCGUGACCCUGGAAUGGAGAAUCAUAUGGGCCAUAACAAUAAUGCGGACAUGAUAAAACAUACCUGCACGCACUUUAUUGUACAAUCUGAACACCAUUUCAAUGGAGGAUGGUGUAUCAGUGGAUCGAAGCAGAAUUUACAUUAUGUGG